UACGGGGGGGGCAAGCGUUGUUCGGAAUUACUGGGCGUAAAGGGCUCGUAGGCGGCCAACUAAGUCGGAUGUGAAAUCCCCAGGCUUAACCUGGGAACUGCAUCCGAUACUGGAUGGCUUGAAUCCGGGAGAGGGAUGCAGAAUUCCAGGUGUAGCGGUGAAAUGCGUAGAUAUCUGGAGGAAUACCAGUGGCGAAGGCGGCCAACUGGACCACAACUGACGCUGAGGCGCGAAAGCGUGGGGAGCAAACAGG
rnacentral:rRNA from 1 species